rnacentral:rRNA from 1 species
UACAGAGGUCCCAAGCGUUGUUCGGAUUCAUUGGGCGUAAAGGGUGCGUAGGCGGCGCGGUAAGUCGGGUGUGAAAUCUCGGGGCUUAACUCCGAAACUGCAUUCGAUACUGCCGUGCUUGAGGACUGGAGAGGAGACUGGAAUUUACGGUGUAGCGGUGAAAUGCGCAGAUAUCAGGAGGAACACCGGUGGCGAAGGCGGGUCUCUGGGCCGUAACUGACGCUGAGGAGCGAAAGCAUGGGGAGCGAACAGG